rnacentral:rRNA from 1 species
GAUGAACGCUAGCGGCAGGCCUAAUACAUGCAAGUCAAGGGGCCAGCAAUGGCACCGGCGGACGGGUGCGUAACGCGUACACAACGUACCUCUGACAGGGGGAUAGCAUUGGGAAACUGGUGGUAAUACCCCAUAGUAUUGCUGAGAGGCAUUUCUUGGCGAUUAAAGUUUUGGCGGUCAGAGAUCGGUGUGCGUCCGAUUAGCUAGUUGGCGGGGUAACGGCCCACCAAGGCGACGAUCGGUAGGGGGUGUGAGAGCAUGACCCCCCACAUGGGUACGUNAGACACGGACCCGAACCUACCUA